UGCAACCUACCCAUUACUGAGGGAUAGCCCGGAGAAAUUCGGAUUAAUACUCAUGGUAUCAAAGACAGGCAUUUGUUUUUGAUUAAAGAUUUAUCGGUAAUGGAUGGGCAUGCGUCAGAUUAGCUAGUUGGCGGGGUAACGGCCCACCAAGGCGAUGAUCUGUAGGGGGUCUGAGAGGAUGAUCCCCCACACUGGUACUGAGAUACGGACCAGACUCCUACGGGAGGCAGCAGUAGGGAAUAUUGGUCAAUGGGCGAGAGCCUGAACCAGCCAUGCCGCGUGCAGGAAGAAGGCCCUCUGGGUUGUAAACUGCUUUUGACCAGGGCCAAAAUACUCAUGCGUGAGGAAUUGAGAGUACUGGUAGAAUAAGCACCGGCUAACUCCGUG
rnacentral:rRNA from 1 species